rnacentral:rRNA from 1 species
AACCUCUUUUAUCAAGGAAGAAGCCAGUGACGGUACCUGAGGAAUCAGCAUCGGCUAACUCCGUGCCAGCAGCCGCGGUAAGACGGAGGAUGCAAGCGUUAUCCGGAAUUAUUGGGCGUAAAGCGUCCGCAGGUGGUUUUACAAGUCUGCUGUCAAAGCGCAGAGCUCAACUCCUGUAAAGGCAGUGGAAACUGUAAGUCUAGAGUAUGGUAGGGGUAGAGGGAAUUCCCGGUGUAGCGGUGAAAUG